rnacentral:misc_RNA from 1 species
CGAAAAUAAGGUGAUCUAUGAGAUAAUUUUUCUUAAACACAACAAUUCGCGGAGGUAUUAUGAACCAGUAUCACCACAUGCUGCAAUUCACAGCUUUGUAUUUUACAAGAAAAAUGCCCUCCACUGCUAAAUUUACCUGGAAAUGCUAAAUCUUCGACCAGGAAUGGCUAUCCACCCAGUUUUAGCUGCUGCUGAAAACACAUUUAGAAACCUUGUGGUUUCAACGAUUCUUUGCUAAGCAGCAAGCCAAACUGUGAUGGCUCAAUCCCAUGUAUCGACUAAAUUAAAAUGUUUCUGUGUAAAGAAACCUAAGAGUUACAUUCUGGAUAUCAAAAUGGGAAUAAGUGUUUCCUCAUCCAUGGCUGGCUGGAAAAUAUCCAACUCUCCAUGUCGCUCCAGGACACGCAUCCUGCAG